AAAAAAAUGCAUUUCCAAUUUCUCUUCCUUAGAGAAAGUUUUCUUUCCCCCCUGUAACUCUUUCUGCUUUUAAAAUAUACUACUCUGAAAGGGAGAAGCAGGCGCCAAGGGCUUGCUUUUGCGGGGCGCAGACCCCAGGGACAGUGCGGUGGCCGCGGGGUGGGGGGCGGGGGGCGUCCCCCGGGGCCCGGUUCUGUUUACCGAGGGAGCCGGAGGCCGAAGUCCGGAGAGUGGGGCGGGGAGAGCGCGGCCCCUCGCCCGCCCUUGAUCCCCAGGCCGCCGGCCCUUUGAGCACACACAGUCGGCCGUUCGGGCCGCUGCGGGGACCGGCGGGUGACAUGCUGCGGCGGCUGGCGUCCCGCUGCGCCCUGAGCCUGGGGGCCCGCGGGGGCGCGCGCCCUGCCGCCGGGCUCCGCCACCUGGGCCGCAGCCCCCGCCGCCGGGCCUCCGAUGCUCCCCGGAACCAGCCCCCCAGCUCCGAGGUCGUGGCCCGGCCGGUGGGCGUCUGCUCCAUGAUGCGGCUGCCGCUGCAGGCGUCCCCCCAGGGGCUGGACGCCGCCUUCGUCGGGGUGCCCCUGGACAUUGGGACCUCCAACCGGCCCGGGGCGAGAUUUGGACCCCGGCGGAUCAGGGAAGAAUCCGUGAUGCUUCGGACAACCAACCCUAGCACGGGGGCCCUCCCCUUCCAGUCCCUCUCGGUUGCAGAUCUAGGUGAUGUGAAUGUCAAUCUUUACAACCUUCAGGACAGCUGCCGUCUAAUUCGAGAGGCCUAUCAGAAAAUCGUAGCAGCUGGCUGUAUUCCUCUGACCUUGGGUGGAGAUCACACAAUCACAUAUCCUAUAUUGCAAGCGAUGGCCAAAAAGCAUGGCCCCGUGGGGCUGCUGCACGUGGAUGCCCACACGGACACGGCUGACAAGGCCCUAGGAGAGAAGGUCUAUCAUGGGACGCCCUUCCGCCGGUGCGUGGACGAGGGACUCCUGGACUGUAAGCGCGUGGUCCAGAUCGGCAUCCGGGGCUCUGCCAUGACCCUGGAUCCCUACAGAUACAGCUGGAGCCAGGGCUUCCGGCUGGUCCUGGCUGAAGACUGCUGGAUGAAGUCCCUGGUUCCUCUGAUGGGGGAAGUGAGGCAGCAGAUGGGAGGCAAACCCAUGUACGUCAGCUUUGACAUUGACGGCUUGGAUCCCGCCUACGCCCCGGGGACAGGGACGCCCGAAAUUGCUGGUCUCACCCCUAGUCAGGCGCUGGAAAUCAUCCGGGGUUGUCAAGGCCUGAACGUGGUGGGCUGUGAUCUUGUGGAAGUGUCACCGCCUUAUGAUCCUUCGGUGAAGAAAAUAAACCUAUUGCUCCACACCUUACAGACGUGAGCUAAUUAACUCGAACACACACCCCUGGGAGGUGGCUCUUACUAGCUUGCCCUCCCGUCAGCAGAAGGAAAACCAGCCCCCAGGAACAGUGAUAAGGAAACACGGCCCUCCUGGCGGCUAACCUGCUGUUUGAGAUGCUGUGUGUGCUCCCCAAAGUGACAGUCGUCUGAACCUCGUGCUCUUCCUGAUAAAUCAGCAGCUUGUGUCGAUGACAGAUGCUCAGGAAUUUAUGUGCAAGAGGCCUGAGUACUCAAGUUUAUGCCAGUAAAACCUUCUGCUGGAGCGUCACUGGAGGCUGUAAAAUCAGGGCAUUCAGUAGAAGUCUGAUCCAACAGCUAAUAUUUCUAAGGAGUCUGAAUUAAAGAGAAGCACGUGUGUUGUUACAAGGGACAGAGCAUUUAGUUUAGGAUUAUCUAAGAACUGGAGAAGUGAACUUAAAAAAAAACAAACAAACCAACCCAUAGGACAGAAUCCCGUAUAAACAUCUCCUAUGUCUCCAGUUCCUCUUCCUUUACACUAUGGCUCCUCCUGAGGAACUCAGGGCUGCGUCUGGGUUUUAGGCCAUUUGUGAACAUAAACAAAUAGUUUGAAAGUAACAUGCAGACUCUCACAAAGAAACUGCCCACCCAACAGCCCAGGAGGGCGCAUGGAAUGUCUUUUCAACCAGACAGCGGGUGGCCUCCAAAGUGCCCUUGGUGACACUUCCUUAACCUACUCCCUGCCUCAGUUUCGCAUCAUCUGCUCUUUGCGCUGGCCCACCCUCUAGGGUAGCAGCUCCUGAGAUCUGCACUGAAGAUUCAGGCAUGUGUUUGAGUUACACGCAAAUUCAAUUUUGUUGAGAAUGGGUCCACGAUCAAAUCCUCCUCUUCCUGAUGCAAGGGCGACGCGUAAUCGUCACACAUUAAAAUAGUUUAUUUCUGUUUCCAGUCUGUAAUAUUCUUAAAACAAAAAUAACAUCAGCUUCAGUGCCUGUUCACAAUACAAAACAAAAACAACAUAAAAAAGACACCAUUUGCCAAGUGAGUUAUUUGUUCCUAAGAGUAUCAAAAGUGCAAAAUAUUCACCUUCUUUUCAGACCGCUCUCUAAAGUUUCAUCCUCCUCCUUGACAAACUGAGUGGACAGAUUCACAGCUGCCACACUGCAUUUGUUUCCAAGGGACAAGGUCAGGCAUUUGGAUGCGAGCAAUUAUUUCAUCUGUAAAGACAUUCUGCAUCAGCUUUUAAAGAAUUUUACUUAGGAAAAAAUUUGAGUGUCUGCUUCCAAUCUCUUUUCCCAAACAAAGCAAAUCACUUAAAACACAGUUAGACCUCAUUUCUUUUUAAAUCAGGAAAAACAUGUAUGUGCUGAACGAGGAGGCAAUCAGCCUAUUAAUUUGAAAACUACGGCCAAAUUUUCACGGUCGGUAGGUGAUGGCAGAGAGAGACCAUGGUGCUUAAUGGAAGUCAAGGUGGUCUUAUGGAAACGCUGCUGACUCAUAGCUGACAGUCUCUUAGACAAAUUAUGCCACCGGCACCUGGACGAUAAAAAAAAUAUUUGUAAGUAGGUGUGUAUUCUACAAAGACUUGUUUUAGGCCAGUUUUCAUCCCCAUCCGCUAAACAUGAUGCGUAGUCUCUAUCAACCAGAAAACCCUACUUCUAAAAA